rnacentral:rRNA from 1 species
AUACCAGCACCCCGAGUGGUCGGGACGAUUAUUGGGCCUAAAGCGUCCGUAGCCGGUGUAGCAAGUCCUCCGUUAAAUCCACUUGCUCAACAAGUGGGCUGCGGAGGAUACUGCUACACUAGGGGGCGGGAGAGGCGAGGGGUAUUCCACGGGUAGGGGUAAAAUCCUCUGAUCCGUGGAGGACCACCAGUGGCGAAGGCGCCUCGCCAGAACGCGCCCGACGGUGAGGGAUGAAAGCUGGGGGAGCAAACCGGAUUAGAAACCCUAGUAGUCC